rnacentral:tRNA from 1 species
GCUCCCAUGGCGUAGUGGUCACUGCGCUCGCCUUGCACGCGGGAGACCCGGGUUCGAUUCCCGGCGGGGUUC